CAGAGGGUAGUUUAUAAAAAAUACUAAAUUUGGAUUUUAGAGAAGUUACGCCCCUCUGA
rnacentral:tRNA from 1 species